UACGAAGGGGGCUAGCGUUGCUCGGAAUCACUGGGCGUAAAGGGUGCGUAGGCGGGUCUUUAAGUCAGGGGUGAAAUCCUGGAGCUCAACUCCAGAACUGCCUUUGAUACUGAAGAUCUUGAGUUCGGGAGAGGUGAGUGGAACUGCGAGUGUAGAGGUGAAAUUCGUAGAUAUUCGCAAGAACACCAGUGGCGAAGGCGGCUCACUGGCCCGAUACUGACGCUGAGGCGCGAAAGCGUGGG
rnacentral:rRNA from 1 species